rnacentral:lncRNA from 1 species
AUGGGGAGCACGAAGCGAGGCCUGGGGCGGGGCUUGGUCCUGGCGACGGGCUUGGAUUGGCGCGCUGCGGAUCUCCCUGCUGCCUUACAAGGCGGUGCGAGGCGAGCUAUUUUUAGAGGGCUAUAUAAGGGGGCUGAGGCUGCCGCCGGGCUGCCGGGUAACACGAGCGCGAGGGACGGGGAGGGUCGCGGCGACACUUGCGCUGGCUCCGGGGACGCCGAGGCGGCCGGGAUCGGGCUGCACGCCGGCCUCCGACCCUCGCUUUGGUGCCUAGCGGAGCCAGGGCGUUCGGAGCCGGUUCCCCUGAGAAGGGAAAGGGUCGCAUGUUGCCGUUCUGGCGUGGACGCGGCCGGUCAGGAGUCUUACUAUAGUGGAACAAAGUAUGAACUUGGGAAGCAGCCUGUUUGUAUCAGAGAAAAACAAGAAUGCCAAAGAGAUGGAGACUGGUAACAAGACUCUGAGAGACAGUUUGAACCUGGAAGAAGAUGCUGCGUCCUAUUGUGAUCUCUUUUGGAAUUCUUUGGGAAGUCAAAGAAGUCUGAGAGCAGUGGCUGUUGUGUCUCCAGAUACUGUAAGUAUGAAAGAAAGUACUGGGGAGAGGGCAAGGUGUAGUUACCAAAGAAUCAGGCAGGAUGCCCUCCAAAUGGGACAGAGACUAGAACAAGGCAGAAAAAUUGAAGCAGGCACUCACUCUCAGCACUGGGCAAUGUAAGGUCAGCAUGUCUUAACGUUAGCCCUGGGUGUUUCUUCUGCCUCACCCUUGUCCAGCCCUGCCUUCAGGUAAGAAUGACCUCUAAUGAACACUCUGUUUGUUUGUUUGUUUGUUUUGGGCCACACCUGUGGCAUCCAGGAUUCCAGGGCCAGGAAUGGAACCUGUACCACAGCAGCAACCUGAGCCACAGUAGUGACAGAUGAUGCCAGAUCCUUAACCCGCUGCACCACCAGGGAACUCCUCUAAUGGACACUCUUAUCUCCUCAAAUUCACUUCUGUUGCUAUAUGCCUGCUUUUCGGUUCUGACCUGUAUAUUUUAUUAAUUUUACUUGAAGAGCUAUAAUUUUAACCAUAAUCCUGAUGAAAACACAAUCACAGAAAAAAGAUAUUUUCUAUUCUUCAUACCCAGGCAUUUAAUUUUUUACAAUGUUAACUCCAAAUUAGUGAGGACCUAUGUGCCUAAAGUUAGAGAUAUUUUACAUAUAUUAUGUUUAACAUGCACUAAGAAAUUCUUUAGUCUAUGCAUCUGUAGCCCACUUAGCAGAUGAGUCCCAGAGAGAGUAAAGGACUGGUCCCCAACCUGAAAGAAGACAGGGCCACUCCCACAAGAGUGCCACAUCUGCCCUCACUUCCCGUACUCACUUCAGGCCUUAAAAUCCCUGAUUUUCUUGUUUUAAUUCCCUUAAUCACUACAAAUUCUGCCUCUUCAUCUCCAAGUCAGGUUUUUCUUACUUGAUUAUAAGAUUUUACUAUUGCUUUGCUUUUGUGGUUUCUUCCUCUUUCCCAGCUUAAAAAAAAAAAAAAAAAAAAAAAAAUUCAUUGAGUUUCAGAGUAGAUCAGUAUGUCAAGUUUUCUCAAAACAUUCUUUAAAGUCAUUUUCUGACUUAAAUGUCUAGAGGGCAGAGCUAAAUGGGGCCACCAGGUAAGAAAGCAGGACGGCUCCACACACUUACAGAGGCUGAGGAAGGAGAAAUGGAAAGGAAAAAUCUUAUUAGGCUUUGUAGGUCAGGGAAAUCCUUUCUAGCCUGGAUUUUUAAACCUUCUGAAUUUUAAUUGAAAGUAUUUCCCCAGAGUAUUUACUUUAACAUGACUGUGCACUCUCAAAAUAUAUAUAUAUAUUCCCUAUCCAUAUUAGAAAUAUAUUACAAAUUCCAGGAAGACAAGAUUGCAUUACAAGGGAGAAUUCAAUGAUGUACCCUUUCUGCUUCGGACAGUAGUCAUGACAUUGCUGGCAACUACAGAAAUUUCCAGACUUCUACUGAGCAUCUCUGCUGGGAAAAAUCUAAUGCUUGUGGGUAAGAUAUAUGACUAUCUGGUCCCACCUAGGAAUCACCAUUAGUUUUUUGUUUUGUUUUAGGUGGUUUUU